rnacentral:snoRNA from 1 species
UUAUGGCGUGGAUGAUGAAAACCAAUUAGAUGUGCGAGAAGUGAAUUCCUCUAUGAGCUCAACAUAUUGAGGCUUAUUGAUGUUCUAACUUGCCUUUA